rnacentral:rRNA from 1 species
CCUACGGGAGACAGCAGUGAGGAAUAUUGGUCAAUGGGCGCGAGCCUGAACCAGCCACGUAGCGUGAAGGAUGACUGCCCUACGGGUUGUAAACUUCUUUUAUAAAGGAGUAAAGUUAGGCACGUGUGCCUUUUUGUAUGUACUUUAUGCUUAAGGAUCGGCAAACUCAGGGACCGUAGCCGCGGGAAUACGGAGGGUUCGAGCGUUAUCCUGGUUUAUUGGGUUUAAAGGGAGUGUAGAUGGGUUAUUAAGUCAGUUGGUAAAGUUUGCGGCUCAAACGUAAAAUUGCAAUUGAUACUGGCAGACUUGAGUGCAGGUGAGGUAGGUGGAAUGCGUGGUGUAGCGGUGAAAUGCUUAGAUAUAACGAAGAACGCCGAUUGCGAAGGCAGCCUACUGACUUGCCACUGACACUGAUGCUCGAAAGUGUGGGGAGCAAACAGGAUUAGAUACCCGGGUAGUC